rnacentral:rRNA from 1 species
GAUGAACGCUAGCUACAGGCUUAACACAUGCAAGUCGAGGGGAAACGACAUCGAAAGCUUGCUUUUGAUGGGCGUCGACCGGCGCACGGGUGAGUAACGCGUAUCCAACCUGCCCAUCACUUGGGAAUAACCUUGCGAAAGUAAGACUAAUACCCAAUGAUAUCCCACGAAGGCAUCGGAAUGGGAUUAAAGAUUUAUCGGUGAUGGAUGGGGAUGCGUCUGAUUAGCUUGUUGGCGGGGUAACGGCCCACCAAGGCAACGAUCAGGAGGGGUUCUGAGAGGAAGGUCCCCCACAUUUGAACUGAGACACGGUCCAAACUCCUACGGGAGGCAGCAGUGAGGAAUAGUAGUCAAUGGGCGAGAGCCUGAACCAGCCAAGUAGCGUGCAGGAAGACGGCCCUAUGGGUUGUAAACUGCUUUUAUAAGGGAAUAAAGUGGGUCACGUGUGACUUUUUGCGUGUACCUUAUGAAUAAGGACCGGCUAAUUCCGUG